CCUUCGAUAGCUCAGUUGGUAGAGCGGUGGACUGUAGACGGACAAUAGACAUCCAUAGGUCGCUGGUUCAAAUCCGGCUCGAAGGA
rfam:Danaus plexippus plexippus isolate F-2 unplaced genomic scaffold DPSCF300323, whole genome shotgun sequence.